rnacentral:misc_RNA from 1 species
GCGCAAUUCCCUUUCAUGACCUUGAGCGGGUGUAUUCCUGGUAUGAUCAAGUCGAAGGAUUUAUUCGUGGGCAAGACAAGGAAACAAAUGGGGUUGAUAGAUCGCAGCGACUAAAAGAUCGACAGUUGAUGAGUACAUUCGAAGAGUGAAUUUAAUUUGUAUGUAUAUGGGAUUGUUUGUUGUGCAUAUUUUCUGUGGUGAUUCCGUAAAUUUCCUUUUUGGUGUGUAAGAAUUAUGGUGUUGCAUUUGGAUUAUAUUGUAAUAUGGUUUAGCACUCUUGAACUUACUUGGAAUUGU